GGGGGCGUUUUGGGACUCGACGGGGACAGUUCGAGCGUCGGUAGCGAGCCGUGGGGCUGCGUCCUUCGUCAAAAACGCAGAUUGCCUAAAUUUAACUGGCAAACAAGAAAACUACGCUCUGGCUGCUUAAUCUAAGCCGCCAGGAUCCGUUGCUCCAUCGCCCGUGUGGAGUAUUCGGGUCUCAUAACUUAAGCGGGCUAGCUGACCGGAUCCGCUGCUGACCGGAAAGCGAACCUGAAGCAGCUAGUGUCUCGGAACGCCUGUCGCUGGGCAGUCCGGGUUGCGAAUCCUGAAUACAGCGACUGCGCUCGGAGAAUCCGAUGUGGCGAUGUCUUCGGACAGCGGUUCGAAUCCGCUCGCCUCCACCA
rfam:Desmospora sp. 8437 genomic scaffold SCAFFOLD1, whole genome shotgun sequence.